GACGAACGCUGGCGGCGUGCUUAACACAUGCAAGUCGAACGAUGAAGAAGAGAAACGCGAACUUCGGUUCAACUUUCACUUCGGAUUAGUGGCAGACGGGUGAGUAACGCGUGAGCAACCUACCUCUUACAAAGGGAUAGCCUCGGGAAACCGUGAUUAAUACCAUAUGACACAUUCAUAAGGCAUCUUAAGAAUGUUAAAGCUACGGCGGUAAGAGAUGGGCUCGCGUCCCAUUAGCUGGUUGGUGAGGUAACGGCCCACCAAAGCGACGAUGGGUAACCGGCCUGAGAGGGUGAGCGGUCACACUGGAACUGAGACGCGGUCCAGACUCCUACGGGAGGCAGCAGUGGGGAAUAUUGCACAAUGGCGGGAACUCUGAUGCAGCGACGCCGCGUGAGCGAUGAAGGAAUUCGUGUCGUAAAGCUCUGUUCUAUGGGAAGAAAAGGACGGUACCAUAGGAGAAAGCCCCGGCUAAAUACGUG
rnacentral:rRNA from 1 species